GUUGGCGCCCUUCCCGCUCAUUAUUUGGGAAGAGGACCAGGGCCUCGAUCUAUAAAUAGGGCUAGCCACCCACAAAGUAGAGGGAUCUAGGGCAUCUAGAGGAUCCAGAUCAUCUAGAGAUCAACCAGAGAGAGAGAGAGAAGUGACUGAACUCGCCCAAGAAGUUCAUCGCACCAGCUCAAGAACAGCCCCUCGAGAGGCUGUUCUCCCUUUGUACUGUUCAUCAUCAGCCCUUGAGGCAAUCCACCACACCACACACUGGAGUAGGGUAUUACACCACAAUGGUGGCAUGAACCAGUAUAAAUCUCGUGUCCCUUGUGUGUUCAUCUUUCUUGCUUAGAUCUUUGCGAGACUUAGAGACGUGAGCUGGUAGGGGAGAGAUCUUCAUGCGCACCCCAGUGUUCGAACCUCAAGCGUCUGCCGGAACCCGAAAUCCGACAUUUGGCGUGCCAGGUAGGGGUGCGCCGGAAUCUUUCUUCCGCUAGUCGUGUCUGAUAUUCCGCCGUGACCAUGGCUGACGCUAGCCGAGCCCACGCCGAGCAUCGGGCUGCUCUCACCACCCGCGUCACCCAGACGGAGCCCGUCGGCGCACGCCCCUAUCAUUCUCCAUUGCAUGUCGCCAACGCCGCCACCGGCCCGGCGGGGAACAAGCAGCAGGCCUCGUCCCUGCAUCCUUCGGUGCGGCGUGAUGGCCACACCGCCACCCCAUCGCUGACUCCAGCCGGUUCGUCGUCCCACGCCCGUCUCACCCCCACGGACGCGCACGCCGCGCUGCUCCUGGCGCGUGAGCUCCUGCACUACCGCCCCGUCGACGACCUCUACGAGGAUUGGCUCGCCCGCAUCACCGAACUCGUCAACGCCGCAGGGGGCUCUCCCAUGCCAUCCCUCUCGCUGCCUCUCCCUCCAUCCUACACAGGAGUCGAGGAGUAGGAGCUGCCUCCUCCACCUCCUCCCCAAGAAGGCGCCCUGGCUCCAAGGCACGCAGCCCCAGGUCGAGACCCGCCGCGUCCGGCGCCUGCGCAACAAGAAAGGAGCUGCCAAGAGAUCCCUCGCCCCCAAGAAGGUGCCCGCGUGCUCCCAGCACUGAUGCGCCAUGACUGCAUCCCUACACCGCCACGUCAAGACCCAGCGUUGCUCCAGGCAGCGGCGUGCGGGAAUCCCCAGGAGCAAGCCCCACCUCAGCAGAGAGCUCCGGUGGCCACUGCAGGCUACCGCGCUUUCACCUCCGAGCUGCGUAGCGUCGCGUGGCCCGGCAAGUUCAAGCCAGACCUGCCUCCGCGCUACGACAGCACUGCGGACCCUGCGGAGUUCCUCCAGCUCUACGAGUUGGGCAUCGAGGCCGCCAAUAGGGACGAGAAGGUCAUGGCGAAUUGGUUUCCCAUGGCACUCAAGGACGAUGCCCGCACCUGGCUCCUGAACCUGGCCCCAGGCAUGAUCUCCUCCUGGGACGAGAUGCGCACCCGCUUCAUCGCCAACUUCCAAGGUACUCGCGACCGACCCCCGGCAAUGAGUGACCUGUGCCGCAUCAAGCAACAGCCGGGAGAGACCCUGCAGAAGUACAUCCAAUGCUUCAACAACGCCUGCCUCAAGAUUCCCAAGGUGACUGAGGAGGCCAUCAUUUCAGCCUUCUCUGACGGUGUGCGUGACAUCAAGAUGAAAGAGGAUCUAGCAAUCCAUGAAGACCUGUGCACAUCGUUGGAGCUGUUCAACCUGGCUACCAAGUGCGCCAGGGCUGAGGAAGGGCGCCUCUCCCUCCUCGAGCUCCCAGCUGUGGACCCAGAAGAGAAGAAGCCCAAGGUCAAGGACGUGAAGCGCAAGGGGGCAGAUGUGCUCGUAGCAGAGCCAGACACCAAGCGAGGCAGGGAUCAGCCUAAGUCAUCUAAGGGCAGUCGGUACUGCAUGUACCACGACCUCCACACACACAAUACCAAUGAAUGUCAGGAGCUCAGGGUCGUGCUAUAUGGGCGUAUUGGCCGAUGCACCGACCGCAGCGACCGGGGCUAUGGCCGAGGAGGAGGAAGAGGUGGAGGACGAUGGGAAGACCGUGGCCCUCGCCAAGGAUGGCGUGACCGGCCUCACGAGGACUGCUGGCAGGACCAGCCUCGCGAGGGAGGUUGGAGGGAUCAGCCUCGCGAGAACCGCCCUCAAGGCAACGCAGGCCUCCCUCCUCUGCCACCGCCGCCAAGGAGGAAUGCAGACCAUCACCAGGACGAGGGGGCUGGGGGCUUCCAGGAGCCGCGUGCAAUCACCUGCAUCCUGGGCGGCUCUCAGGCCCCGGCCUCUCAGCGCAUCUUCAAGCAGUUUGCUCGCGAGGUGAAUGCAGUCCUUCCCAAGCUUGAGGCCACGUGCCCACUCAGGUGGUCCGCGUGCGCUAUCACGUUCAGUUCAGUGGAUCCUCUCAAGUGUGCGGCAACGGCCGGGGCCUCCCGAUGCUUUGUUCCCUAGUCAUCAGCAAUGUGCAAGUCACCGGGACCCUCAUCGACGGCGGGGCUGGGCUCAACGUCCUAUCCGUUGAGACGUUCAACAAUAUCCAAGUGUCAUACGAUCAGUUUCAGCCAACCAAGCCUUUCUCAGGAGUCACUGAUGGUUCCACUGUUCCAAUAGGGCAAGUUCAUCUUCCCGUCACCUUUGGGCAGCGCAACAAUUACCACACCAAGCUCAUUGACUUCGACGUCGCCCACAUUCGCCUGCCGUACUGUAACGCCCCGGAUUCGAUGCGCCAGGUGUUUGCCAGUUAUUCGCCGUAGUUGCCAUGUCAUUUUGCUUGCGUGUUGCAUUUCAUCAUGUCAUCAUGUGCAUUGCAUUGCAUACAUGUUCGUCUCAUGCGUCCGAGCAUUUUCCCCGUUGUCCGUUUUGCAAUCCGGCACUCCUAUGCCCUCCAGCGUACCCCUUUUGUCUCUCGUUGUGAGCGGGUGUUAAACUUUCUCAGAAUGGCCCGAGGUUUGCCAGUGGGCCUUGGUAUAGCACCAGUAAACCGCCUAUCAAGUUUCGUGCCAUUUGGAGGUCGUUUGAUACUCCAACGGUUAACCGCGUAGCCCGAACCCCCCCUUUCUCUUUGCAGCCCAACACCCUUCCAAAGUUGCCCAAAACCCAUCUAACUCUCCUCCAUGCUCUCGGUCGUUCGAUCACGAUCAUGUGGGCGAAAACCGCUCCUCAUUUGGACACUCCUAGCUCCCUCUACCUAUAUAUUUGUGCCCCUCCCGGAUUUUCGCGCAGAUGAAACCCUACCCCUUUUCCCCACCACCCCACCGGACAAAAAUCCCCGCCGCCGGACAUGUCCACCGCCGCCGCCACAUCACCCGGACCAAUCACGAUGUGCCACCUCAGCUCCGCCGCCUCCCGCGCCCAACCAGGAGNNNNNNNNNNNNNNNNNNNNNNNNNNNNNNNNNNNNNNNNNNNNNNNNNNNNNNNNNNNNNNNNNNNNNNNNNNNNNNNNNNNNNNNNNNNNNNNNNNNNNNNNNNNNNNNNNNNNNNNNNNNNNNNNNNNNNNNNNNNNNNNNNNNNNNNNNNNNNNNNNNNNNNNNNNNNNNNNNNNNNNNNNNNNNNNNNNNNNNNNNNNNNNNNNNNNNNNNNNNNNNNNNNNNNNNNNNNNNNNNNNNNNNNNNNNNNNNNNNNNNNNNNNNNNNNNNNNNNNNNNNNNNNNNNNNNNNNNNNNNNNNNNNNNNNNNNNNNNNNNNNNNNNNNNNNNNNNCCGCUCCUCCGUCGGUGCCGCGCGCUGCCGCCCGCCAUCACCGCUCCCCGCCGCCCGCAAGCCCCGCCGGCGCCCGUCCGAGGUGCCCAUCGCUGGAUCCGGCCAUCUUCUUCCACUCCGGCGUCAUCCCCCUCCAAGUCCGGCGAGAUCCCGGCGGUCCUCGAAAUCCGCACCAACCGGGACCAAAUCCGCAGGGUGCACCAACCAAAUGCCCACGCCUGUCCCCGGAUCUCUCCGUCCCGGGACCUUCUCAUCCAGUUUUCGCGGGGUAAAAAUCGACCAAGUCCCUGUAUUUUGACAUUAUCAUGCCAUGUUCAUCGCAUCAUAUCUUUGCAUCCGUAGCUCUGUUUUGUGCGUGUAAUAUGUCAAAUUGUUCGUCUCAACGAGUACAUCAUUUCAUUCCAUUGCAUCAUAUUCAUUUGAGCUCAUCUAGAUGCCCGAGUCAUCGUUGCAAGAGUGCUUCAUAAUGUUAUCUGCUGUCUGUUAUCAAAACGAGCUCUUUUGUCAUUUUUGCCAUGAUUGAUGUGUGCAUCCUAUGAGGUUGAUGUCUACAUGUGUUUUGAACUAUGCCAUUCCAUCUUUACAGGGGUGCUUACCAUUUAUUUUUGUGAUCAAUGUGGUGACUAGCACAAGCAUGCAAACUAGGCAUCGUGAUGUUGCUGAUUUUAGUCUCUGUUCUGCUAUUAUUUUGAUGCCAUGUAAACUUGAUGCUACAGAGAGAUCCAUGCAUAUUUUGAGAUACUUCAGUAAGGGUGUUUUGAACAUAUGGUUAUUGUCUAUCCAUUCAUGCCCAUGUUUGCAAUUAUGGAGUAGUCUAGCAUGCCGUUUUCGUGCUCUACUUUUGCUUCAAAAUGUUUCCUGGCAGAUUGUUUACAUGUUAUUCAAUUUUGCCAAGGUUGUUGUAGUUGAUCCUUGCAUGCUAUGGACUUGUUCUUGCCUUUGUUUGUUACAUAAACAUGUCUUCUUGCUGAUGCUAUGCUUAUCUUGUCAUGCAAUGACUUGUGGUGAGUGAAUCGAGCUUGUUAAGUAGGGUACUUGUUGUUGCUGUUUUGCUAGGCUGAAUCUGUUAUUUCGUGAUGCUAUGUAAACCUGCUGUUACAAAUCAUUCUAUGCACAAUCUGGAGAUGUCCACUAAAUAUGUUUUGUUCUACAUGUUAUGCUCUAUCCAUCCAUGCCCCUGGUUGCAUUUACAGUUUGUUUUAACUUGUUCAUAUCUUGCUCCAAAGUUGCUUGAUAAUGUUGCUGACAGCCUGUUAUCAUUAAGUUCAGUUGUUGCCGUGAUUGUUGCUAGUGUUCCAUGCACCCUAUGAACUUGCUAUUGCCAUGCUUAGCUUCACAAACAUGCCUUCUUACUGUUGGGUGCCUUGCCAUGCCAUGUAUUGCUCUGUGGUGAGUGGUACAAGCUCACCAACAUGCCUUCAUAAUUCUGUUCCUGCCAUGUUUGAAUCUGUAUUAUAACUUGCCAUGUUUACAUGGGUGCCAUCAUAUUUUUUGUUCCUUUUUGGCUUAUGGUCAGUAAAGGGCAUUUGAUCUAUGCAUUUAGUAGUAUCAUGCCAUGCCUUUGUUUUCCAUUAUAAGUUCCUGUAACAUGUUGUUUGAUAGCUCUAAACAUUGCAUCCUGAUGUUAUUCUCUGCAAAGUCUGAAAUUGUUAUUACUUGCAAUCUUGCCAUGUGUGUUUGAGCAUGUUCUAGUGAUUUCUGGAGAUAGCUCAGUGUUCAUGUUUUGUAAUGCUUUACCUGUACAUCAUGCCCAUGCCUUUUGUUUACUUGUUGAGGUCCUGUAGCAUGUUGUUUUGAUGCUUGAAAUAUGCCUAGUUGCUGUUUUGCACAGCUUGUCCUUUAAACUUGUAUAGAGUGUGUGUGUUGCACCGUUGCUCCGUUUUGAGUGUGCCCUAUAUGAAACUUGCUUGAUAUUGCAUGUAGUUUCAUAUUAUCAUGUUGCAUCCUUGUUUUGAGGUGUUUGCUUGAUGUUUGGGUGCAUUUUGCGUCAAUGCCAUGUUUAACUUGUUUUGCUCAUAUCUUCUAGGCCGUAGCUCCGAAAUGAACUUUAUAUGUAACUUGACUAGAAUCUCGUGUAGAUCAUCUUUGUGCAUCUUAACUUGCUGUUUAACAACUUCAACUUAAUGUUUGUUCAGAUCUGGACCAACUUCGAAAUUUGCAUAUGAGGACUUACCGGAAUUGUUAUAUGUUGUUCCCGACCUCAUUUAAACUUGCCAUGAUGUGUUGCUCUUGUUUGCAUCAUCUCUUGCCAUGAGUAGCUUCAUGUAGCCUUGUCAUGCAUCAUGCUUGUUGUGCAUCAUGCCUUGUUCAUGAGUGGUUUGCUUCUUUUCGGUAGUUCCUAUUUCGUUGUGAUCGUGAGGAUUCGUUCGUCUACGCUUGGUUCGUCUUCGUGGCUUCAUCUUCUUCAUGGACUCGUUCUUCUUCCUUGCGGGAUUUCAGGCAAGAUGACCGCUACCCUGGAUCUCACUACUAUCUUUGCUAUGCUAGUUGCUUCGUUCUAUCGCUAUGCUGCGUUACCUAUCUUUUGCUCAUCAAGCCUCCCAAAUUGCCAUGAACCUCUAACCUUUGACACCUUUCCUAUGCAAACCGUUGUUUGGCUAUGUUACCGCUUUGCUCAGCCCUCUUAUAGCGUUGCUAGUUGCAGGUGAAGUUGAAGAUUGCUCCAUGGUGGACAGGAUUUUGGUUGGGAUAUCACAAUAUCUCUUAUAUUAUUAAUGCAUCUAUAUACUUGGUAAAGGGUGGAAGACUCGUCCUUUUGCCUGGUGUUUUGUUCCACUCUUGCCGCCCUAGUUUCCGUCAUACCGGUGUUAUGUUCCCGGAUUUUGCAUUCCUUACGCGGUCGGGUGAUUUAUGGGACCCCCUUGACAGUUCGCUUUGAAUAAAACUCCUCCAGCAAGGCCCAACCUUGGUUUUACCAUUUGCCUCACCACCACCUACUUUUCCCUUGGGAGUCGCUCUCUCGAGGGUCAUCUUUAUUAUAGCCCCCCCCGGGCCAAUGCUUGUCUAAGUGUUGGUCCAAACUAGAGCACCGUGCGGGGCCAUCCCUUGGCAACUUGGGUUACGUCGGUUCCUGUAUGCUUCGCUUAUCCGGUGUUUCCCUGAGAACGAGAUAUGUGCAGCUCCUAUCGGGAUUGUCGGUGCAUUGGGCGGCUUUGCUGGUCUUGUUUUACCAUUGUCGAAAUGUCUUGUAAACCGGGAUUCUGAGUCUGAUCGGGUCUUCCUGGGAGAAGGUAUAUCCUUCGUUGAUCGCGAGAGCUUAUCAUGAGCUAAGUUGGGACACCCCUGCAGGGUAUAAUCUUUCGAAAGCCAUGCCUGCGGUUAUAGGCAGAUGGGAAUUUGUUAAUGUCCGGUUGUAGAUAACUUGACACCAGAUACAAAUUAAAACGCAUCAACCGUGUGUGUAGCCGUGAUGGUCUCUUUUCGGCGGAGUCCAGGAAGUGAACACGGUUUCUGGGUUAUGUUUGACGUAAGUAGGAGUUCAGGAUCACUUCUUGAUCAUUACUAGUUGACGACCGCUUCUUUUGCUCUCUUCUCGCUCUCAUUUGCGUAUGUUUAACCACCAUAUAUGCUUAGUCGCUGCUGCAGCCUCACCACUUUACCCCUUCCUUUCCCAUUAAGCUUUGCUAGUCUUGAUACCCAUGGUAAUGGGAUUGCUGAGUCCUCGUGGCUCACAGAUUACUACAACAACAGUUGCAGGUACAGGUUAUGCGGUGAUCAUGACGCGAGAGCGAUGUUUGAUUGCGUUGAUUUCUUCUUCUGCUUCUUCGAUUAGGGGAUAGGUUCCAGGUCGGCAGCCUGGGCUGGCAGGGUGGAUGUCGUUUGAGUUUCUGUUUGUGUUUCAUCCGUAGUCGGAUGAUGCUCUUAUGUAUUGUGAUGUUGUAUUCAUGUGGCAUUGUAUGCCUCUUGUAUGUAUUCCCAUCUAUUAUGUAAUGUUGAUGUAAUGAUAUCCACCUUGCAAAAGCGUUUCAAUAUGCGGGUCUAUCCUUGCUGGGACCUUCGAGUUCCUUUUGGAUAGGGUCGCAUAUUGGGCGUGAUACGUACAAUGCCAUCCUUGGGUACCCAGCUCUGGCCAAGUUCAUGGCAGUGACUCACCAUGGCUACAAUGUCCUCAAGACACCAGGAAGCGGUGGAAUCAUCAUAGUGCCUUGCGAGGAAAGGGAUGCAGUGUGUUCUCUUGAGCGUGCCUUCCAGGCUGCGGCAAUCAAAGACCCAGAUCACAGGAGCGGGAGGCUCCCCGAGGCAGUUCCUAAGAAGAAGAAGGCUUCAUCUGGCCCAAAAAAUCACAAGGCAGGCCCCUCUGGAGGCGUUGCGUCAGGAUCCGUGCCUGUCCAAGGGGCGCCACCCUCUGUCGCAUAGGAAGGCGCGCCCGGUGCCCUCCUUGGGCAGGGCUCGGGGGCUCUCUCCUGGAGGGCCACCGACCUCGCUAAGGUCACGAGGGAGGCGCUCGGGCACCACUUGGAGGCGUGCUUCAAGGCACGUUUCCCUCAGGAAGGUAUAAGGCAAGGAAGGCAAAACCCCCAGGAGUUCAUUGUGAGGAACAUUCAGGAGCUACAGGAGUCAAGAGUCAUGCGCGGCAGUCACCGCCUACCCGCUAUAGCCCCACAUCCCGGCGAGGAUGGUGGGCUGCGCGUCUGCAUCGACAUACCGGGGCUCAACCGAGCCGCGUCUCAGGAGCGCUUAUGGCCUUCACGCGUGGGGUGUUGUGAGGGUCCACCUCACAGCUAUGUUCGCAUGCCCUUUGGCCUGCCGAACGCGGCUGCUGCCCACCAGCGCCUGAUGAGGAUCAUCCUGGAAGCUCAGGUGGCCAGGCACCACGCGUUCCUGGAGGAGAUGGAGAUGGACCUUCAGGAGCCACCCAGACCCUCAGAGCCUCCCGAGGCUCAGGGCUCCGAGGGCUUGUGAGGGUUGGCUGCUUCAUCGCGCGUCGAUAGCUACUCCGACACUCGCUCUGCAAUGAUAUCAGGUGACAUUUUUCAAGUUUUCUCUUUAGCUGGGAGCGCCCGCAGGGCCGCAUCAUUCCCAGGUCGUGUGGGUCCGUCCCUGCGGCAUGUAUCCGUUUUGCUUAUGUUUUUCAUCUGCUUUGUUUGGGGCGCCCCUCGGGCUGCAUUAUCCCCAAGCUGCUCGGGCCUGACCCAGUGGCGCUUGCUUUUUCGGCAUCUACCUAAAUCGAUUCGCUCCUCCGAGCCUAACCUGGUCCUCUUGAUUAUCAUCUGCUGCUUAUCACGGACCUCUCCGCUCACAUGCAAAGCGCUUGCACGUUAAAAGGGGGCACCUAAGCAUCACGACUCAUGGUCUCUUACUGGCUCUCCAGCCCUCACCCCCUGGCCUUGACCCACGGCAUCGCGACCUGUCAUACCAGUGGCGGCUGAGCUUGCUCAAGGGUCGGGACCUGAGGACGUAGAGCAUUUGCAUUCUAACCACCCUACAGGAACACUCCAUUGAUAAAGGCCCAGAGCCAGGCGCAACCCGCCUCGUGGUAGGACCUCGUGAGUCCCGCGCUGGCUCACGGGUGCCCAGAUACACCUCUCCUAGCCCUACCGUGCCAGCCACGUGUCAGGGCGGGGCUGUACACGCCCCGGGGGCUCCUCCCGGAGGGGAGCCCCCUCCCACGUACCAGUGGAAGCACCAUGCUCUGCGCUGGCUGGCGACACUGCCGAGGAGCGGCUAUGCCCGUACACAAACGGAAGCGCUAUGCUCCGCGCUGGUGAUAAACAACUGAGGGCGGCCCACGGCUGUAUCAACCUCAGGGAGCCCAGAGCUCAGUGUCUGGCACAACCGCAACGCCUCCCCUCGGGAGUGCCGCGCGAGGGGGCUGGACACGGGGGUUGCGCCCGGGCUACGCCCGAACGCACGCCACCGAGCCAAGUCCCUCAGACCUGGUCGUCACGCGCCUCUCCCCGAGCAGAGCCAAGGUACGAAAUCUAGUUCGCGCAUCAAGGGGGACUCCUAAGCAUCGCGACUCAGGAGCCUAACUGGUCAUGUAGCCCUUCACUACUUAGUCCCGUCCUGGUUUCUGGUCGGGGCUAACGGCGGCUGAGAUAUGUGCGGGGCCGGGCCCUGACGACGUAGAACGACAAAUCCACUCCUACGCCUCCCUUCCCUACUUGUUGUCUGCGCGUCAAGGGGGAAUCCUGAGCAUCGCAACUCAGGAGCCUAACUUGCCACGUAGCCCCUCACUCCUUAGUCCCGUCAUGGUUUCCGGUCGGGGCUAACAGCGGCUGAGGUAUGCGCGGGGCCGGGCCCUGCCGACGUAGAACACAGGAAAAUAGGAGGGAAAAUGCAAAUCCUAAGGAAUUAAAAAGCAAAUAUUACAAGCCAUAAAGUGUUUUCACAACACCAAACGCAAAUUUAAACGCCUCCACGAGGCAUGGUGCAUGUUGCAGGAAUUAAAACAGGACAAAGGACGCAAGGGGAUCACUUUCCAGUGGGCUGCCGCCUGCGGUGGAGCCACGCUGGGCGGCUCUGCCUCCUGAAGCCGCGGAACCAGUGGAGCCGCGUCUAGGCAAGAUGCUGAAGGCACGGAACUUCCCAAACCUCGGCUUGGCCCUUCACAGCCUUAGCAGCGGCGGCGGCAAGGUCGCUGCUCACGGGUUCCAUCAGGCUGUCGAGGUCGACCUUGGGGUCGUGAAGGUAGAUGUGGCUGAGGACGCGCGUCAACGCUGCAAACGACAGGGCACGACCGUCCGCGGUAUCUUCAAGCGCACGGACCAGGAAGGGAAGCAGCUCGGCAGGGCCGUCCUCUUCGCCAGCCAACGGGUCCUCUAAGCCGCUCUCAUAGAGCGUCUUCAGCGCAACGCGAGCCUUCUCCUCCAGCUCAGCGAUGGCCACCCAGUCCUUGGCCAGGACCUUCGCGUUGCGGUCUAGCUCGGCCCUCUCCACCUUCAGCGCCUGCUCCAGCGUCUCCAGCCGGCCACGACAGUCAACAAGCUCGGCGUCCCGGUCUUUGAUGGCAGCCUCCCGAACCUUCAUCCCCUCCUCCUUCUCCUGGCGGAUGCGGACCUCCUUCGCGAGCUCCUCGCACAGGUCUUGCAGCUCAGACUCCAAUGCCUUGCAGCGGCCCUGGGCAUCCGCAGCUUCGCCUUGGGCAGCAUCACGAGCAGCCUUAGCCUAGCGGGCGGCUUGCUUCUCCUUGUCGGAGGCGGAUGCAACCUGCCUCUGCGCCGCUCGGACAAAGGCAACAGAGCGGGCCCAGCCGGAGGCUAACUCCAGGCGCCCGACCAGCAGGCGGGGGUCCGCGCUCUGGAGAUCCUCCCGAAGCCGACGCAGUUCGUUGGUGGCCUGGUCCAAGACAGCGGAGGGAUCAGAAGAGAUGGGAGCUGGUGGAGCAGGCGGAGAGGACGGCAGCAUGAUCACGGCUUGGGAGGAAGGAGCCUCCCGCGCCUUGGGCAUCUCAGCAGCACCACCAAGCCUAGGCCCCUCCAAGGUCAGCGGGGCCACGGGGGCUGACUCCUCGCCAGAGUGCCCCUGCUGGGCUCGCGAGGACGACCGGGCAGGGGAAGCGUGGGCCUCGGUGCCUCCGUUCCCCGCAGAAGAAGGUGCUGCCUCGGCAGGCGAACUCGCCUCAAGCAGGUUCUAGAAGCCCCCCUCAACCUCUUCGCCUUAGGUGCGGGCCUGGUCAAGGAGUGCAGGCGUCAAGUCUCGGAGACAGAAACAAAGCAGAGCACGGAUCGAGUACUUAAGGGUCAUCGCUCGCGGGUUCAAGCAGCCUCCGGCCAAACUUGAAGCCCAAGAGGCUGCAACUGGGGUCGGCCUUGGGAGGUAUGGAAGCAGAGGACGUGUCGGGAAGGCCGGAGCUGGCCUCAGACCGCCCCGAAGCCAGAGCGGAUCCUGGGGCCACCAGCCCCGAUCUGUCUUUCCUCGGGACUGGGGGAGAAUCCACUCCUCCUCGCCCGCCGCUGGCCUCGUCGUCGUCCGACAUGGAGUGGAGGGUGCGAGACCUGCGCCAGGGGAAGGACUCCUCCGACUCCUCGCCAGUCGCCUCGGAGUCGAACUCCUCCUCCUCUUCUCCCUCCUCACUCCCGCUGGAGUCGCUGGAGGACACAUUCACCGUCAACAACGCCGUCAGAUCCCCGGGAGCCAUCGCGGGCACUAGCCCCUCACCGUUGAAGGUGGGCAUGGCGUCCACCGCCUGCUCCCAGUCUUCACGAAGAAACAGGGGGAAAGGAGCACCGUCCGGCCUCGCCACGUCUCCCCCGACUAAGGAGUGGAGGGCAGCGACCAGAUCUUCAUCGGCCAGGGCUGCGGAGCUCAAGCGAAUGGCAGCAUCUGCUUCCCCGAGCCUCCACAGUGGGAGCGAGUGCUCCCGGAGUGGAGCCACCUGGUGGUCCAGAAACUCCCUCAGGAGUGUGGCCCCGGUCAGCUUCGCUGACCCCAGGUUGCCUGGCCUCAGGUUCGCGUCCAUCCUCUCCAGCACCACCCUCGCGCGGGGGUCGACGAGCUCUGCGCGAGACCACACAUCAACGGCCUUGGGCUGCCCCGUGGGCAACACAAGUCAGGGGUGGAUGCGCCCGGCGUCCACCAUGACCCACCUACUCCGGAAGCCUUCAGUCCUCUUCCCGGGCUUCGAGAUGGCGUUGGAGCCAGAGUAUCCGACAAAGCUCGCGCAUGCGGAGAUGGGGCCACGAGAAACCCGGAGGUAAAAGUAAUGGCGGAGCAAGGCCACUGAGGGCUUUAUCCCAACAUGAGCCUCGCAAUAGUAGGCAAAGAUCGCCAGAAGAAGAACCGAGUUGGGGUGGAGGUGCAGAGCUUGCAAGUUGUACAGGCGAAGAACAGUAAGGAAGAACUCGGAAAAAGGAGGCACCAGACCGGCAACGAUGGCACUCAUGAAGAGCGGGUAGAAGGUGCUCACCUUGCCUUCAGGCUGGCCGGAGUCGGCCUUGAGCACAGUCGCUCCAGCGUUGCCCUGCACCACCGUCCUCGGGCGCAGGAGGUCGAGAUUCCUCUCCGACACGUUCGGGGGAUCCAAAGCUGGGGAGUACCAGGCCUCAGUCGGAGUCUUGCGGGGCGCCAUAGAUCGCCGGGCGGAAGGAUUGAGGCAGAUCUAGAAGAUUUGGGAAGCGGGAAGGAGAAGGGCGAGAAAGGGGGUCUGGAGUAAGGGAGGCGAGAAAAAAGCAGGUCAGUCUGGCCUGGGCACCCCUUUUUGUCAAGUCAUGCGGUUGCAGAGGCAUCGUGGGGAAGCGGAGAUGCCAACGUCCAAUCGACCGCCACGCGGCGCCCAAGGCCGCAGGCUGUUGGGGCCCGCAGCGCUUCGCACUUGCCCCUUCGCUUAUCUGCUAAGCCAAGUCCGGGCGCACCUUGGGCCUGGGGGCUACUGUCGGUGUUUUGGGAACGGGGGUCCCCAAACUUGCCUACCUGUGGCCUGCGGCGUGGCUCAAGUGGGGGCCCAAUGCAGCCCAGCUUCAUCAGCUCAAGCUCAAGACCCUCGCGAGGGGCCAAGCCUCGCGGGGCGGACGACAGGGAGCUUCCUCAGGAGCAGCCUCCUCAGGCAGGCUCGCGAGGAGGCGGAGAGAUCAAGGCAGGGAACCACCCGAGGGGCCCGUGACGCAAGCCAUGAUGAUCGAGGACCAGGCGGGCACCAGGCGGGCGUCGGCCUGUGCAGUGUCCUUGUUUCCCUUUCGGUGCAAAGGGGGCAAGCACAGGCCAAGGCAUCAGGCAAAGGUUACCAUUUCGGUGCAACGAGACCAAGACCAACAGAAUGGCAGGAUGGAGGUCAUCGUGGAGCCCAGGGCGGCGUCACCGUCAGAGCCUUUGGCAGCCGAAGACCAACUUUAGUCAGGAUAAGUGUACCAGAUGUUCCCCUUCAAAAUGGCCAAUUGUUGGCGCCCUUCCCGCUCAUUAUUUGGGAAGAGGACCAGGGCCUCGCUCUAUAAAUAGGGCUAGCCACCCACAAAGUAGAGGGGUCCGGGGCAUCUAGAGGAUCCAGAUCAUCUAGAGAUCAACUAGAGAGAGAGAGAGAGAGAGAGAGAGAGAAGCAACUGAACUCGCUCAAGCAGUUCAUCGCACCAGCUCAAGAACAGCCCCUCGCGAGGCUGUUCUCCCUUUGUAUUGUUCAUCAUCAGCCCCUGAGGCAAUCCACCACACCACACACUGGAGUAGGGUUUUACACCACAAUGGUGGCCUGAACCAGUAUAAAUCUCGUGUCCCUUGUGUGUUCAUCUUUCUUGCUUAGAUCUUUGCGAGACUUAGAGACGUGAGCUGGUAGGGGACAGAUCUUCGUGCGCACCCUAGUGCUCGAACCUCAAGGGUCUGCCGGAACCCAAAAUCCGACAGUGUCAUAUGCAAUAUUCCUUUUGCCUUAGGAUAUAUGUUGUCGAGCUCAAGGCGAGUACUUGUCAUCCUUGUGGUACCUCAACCUAUCUUCUUGAAACUGUGAGAUAAAUUCUUGAACCGGGUUAACUCUUUAACCAAGUUGCAUGGCCAGGCUUUCCGAAUCUGAUCACUCGAGAGGACCGAGAGAAUAUCUCUUCGUAUUAGACGGGCAAUCCCAUCCUGGUCAACCAUGUCUUGCGGCAUAUCUCACGACUCACCCAAAAGCUACCUUUAUAACUACCCAGUUAUAGAGUAGCGUUUGAUAGACCCAAUGUGAGUCGAUCCUCAUCCCAAGAACAUGCGAGGACCUCAAGUCUAAGACAUGGCGUAUACAUCGUACUUGAGACUAACAGAUGACAAUGUCUCGUUGAGUCUCAAAGUGGGUCUGUUCGACUCGUUGAUCUCCAUCCCCGAGUCCAUACUAUCGUUUUAGCAUCUAUAUGCCCAUCUCUUGUGGAACAUAGUCAUCAACCAAAGAGUAUAUAUAAUAGUGAAAGGGUAUGUGUCCGCAUAACCUUAUCAACUAGGGACCAUUAGAAACAUCAUCAUACAAUAUAUAGUUUCACAUACAAUGCACAUACUUAUUGAUACAUAUCAUUGAUGAUGUUCAAGGACAAUAUAAUGACUCAUGCAUGAACAAGUAGGGAAAUAUUGUAACCAUAUGAUUGCCUCUAGGGCAUAUCUCCAACAUAACAAACAAGGAAUUUUCUCCAUAAUCAAUUCGGAUAAGUAUGUCACGCUUGCUAAUAAGUCCGUGCAAAUGCCUGGUGCGGCGACGUGCCGGCACAACCGUGACUACUUCCUUGGUCAUAACCAAUAGUUCCUUCAUAAUGUGAAUCAGGACUUUAUCAUGACAUUUUUUACCCCGUGCCCAUGGUCACCACAAGUGAAACAGAUAUUCUUCUACUUGCGAUAUCCAUGCAUCGCCCUAAUUCUCUCAGACAUCUUGCGAAGAUCAUUAGAAACUGCUGGAGCCUUGACCUUAUCUGCAUAUCCAAUAUGUUUGGAGGAAGAGUGACGCUAAUGCUUGAGAGGCGCCUGAAGCUUGUAGCUUCCUGCAAAAGAGCCAAAUAACUAGCAGUGUCGACAUCUUCUGGAUGAUGCAAAACAACUACGGUAUGAAUUUCUGCAUGCAAUCCAGCAAUGUAACGCUCGAUGAACAACACCUCAGGAGUGUUAGGAUCCACCAACAAAAUUUGAUGGUGAAGGGUAUAAAAUUUACUGCGAUACUCAUCGUGGUUGCAACAUCCUUGCGUCACUACCUCCUCUCGUCACCGUCGUCGGCUUGCACCGCCGUCCUCCCCAGCAAACAAAUUAUCAACAACAAUAAAACUCCAUUGGUUUGCCGACAGCAACAAAAAAUGUGUCGAUUCCAGCAAAGCUUAUCUCCGAAUCCAUCAUAAUUACAUCACCGCCGCCGGUCACAGCAAAACUCUCAACUAUCACCACAGCAAACAAUCUUGCGGGUCCAGCAAAAAUGAUCUCAAUGUUGACCGGUCCCAGCACCAGCCAAUAGUGAUUGUAGCUCCCCCUAGCUUGGUUCCAGCAAAAAAGAUCUCUGGUUGCAGCACCGGAGCUCCACUACCUUCGCAGCCGGCAACUGCUGGUUGCAGCAAGCAUGGCCUCUAGUUCCAGCAUUUUCAGACUCCGGUUCCAGCAAAAAAACUUCCAGUUGCAGCACUGGAGCUCUCCCGUCUCCAUAGCCGGCAACUGCUGCUUGCAGCAACCAUGGCCGAUGGUUCCAGUAUCGCUGGACCCCUGGGUCACAGCUCGCCAUCGAUGUGCAUUGCUGGAUACGUCCCCAGCAACCGCCAGUUGCAGUCGACCUCCUCUAGCAGCUCCUGCGGCGGUCUGUCCUUGCCGUUGCAUCACUACCAUGGUUCCUCCUGCGGUGGGCUUGAAAGAGUGGCGAGUGGUGUUCCCUUGCGGACGCGAGCUCGUGAGAAGGAAGGAUGAGGAGAGGCACUCGCCUACCACAAUGGGGGCAGAGGUUGGGGCCGAGCAGAGCAGUAAAUCGAUGGUGCCAUGAAAGUUGCGGUGGCUAGUGCACGAUGGGGAGAAAAAUAAGAGAGGAAAGGAUACAAUGUGAAGAGAUAAGGUGUUCCAGGUGCCCGAGUGGUGUGACCGGCCGAAACUCAGCCGGUCGACCAGGCGCAAUCAUUCCCAUUAAUAAACUACCCCGCCCUAAGUAGGCUAAUAUCAUCUCUAAUCAUCUCAUGACUAUAUAUAUCCAACACAUUGAUUAACAAAUACUAUGUAUAUCAUCUCAUGUGUUAAUUACGUUCAUUGAACAUAUGUUGCAAAGAAAAAAAUAAUGGUUACGAGAUUUUCCUCUCCUCCCUAACCUUAGGCGGUAAGGGCAAACUCUCACCUCCAGAUUUCCCCGACGAGCCCGUGGAUUCGCUUCCCCUUCGCCUACCGCUUUGGCGACCGCUAGAGGGGAGGGGAUCCCGGUGCCUUCGCUUUGGUUAGUAGUUUAGGUUAUGAUUUUUUUUCCUCACAAGUGCGGCCCUCGGGCGGAUGGUGGCUUUUCUUCUUCGAACUUGUCUUUCGGGCUCCGAUCCUCCUCGAAUUUGUCCGUCUAGACGUAGUCGACGAAGCUUCAGCAUAGAUUCCUGCCGUCUACUUGGGACAAUGGGGUUAGAGUUUCUCGUCAUGUGGCGAGAUUUGGAGUCAAUUGCAAAAAACUACCACAUUUGCGGCUAGAUUUGCAGAUAACCACCAAGUCACUAAUCCGCUGCAAAAAACACCACAUUAGCAGUAAACUUGUUGCAAAAAGCACUGAUAGCUCACUUUGCUUCAUUUAAUCGUGUUUCCGACAAGUGGUGCCCAGCUGACUUGGCAAAAAUCGCCACGUGUGCGCGUUGACUGAGUCUUCUUCCAUCUCCUAUCUUCCCCUUCUAUCACACAUUUUAUCGAACAUGUUGCUGGCAUCUCCCGUCAUCGCCAUGGUCGUCGCAGCAGGCCCUAAUGCGCUGCCCCGGCAAGCUGUGUGCUUCUGGUACACCGCGGCCGCCGGAGAGAUGCCCGUGGAGAUCACCCUGGAGGAGGACACCAAGCUCGGCUUCGCCAUCAGCCGCACCGAGGAGGAGCACCAGGCCCAGGGCGUGCACGUCCCCACUGCAUACCUGCUGCUCCGCGGCCGGCAAGCUUAUUGAGGGCGGGGAGGUGCUGCUCCUCCUCCUCGUCGUUAAGCAGAAGAAUGGUCACUGGGAGGACGUCGCCGUGCAUUGUCUUCGCUGGCGCUCAUGGCAGCGGCGGCGUCCCAUUGCCUCCUUGAGCGAGGCGGUCCUCCCCCAGCACGAAUCGCACGACGGCGCGCCGCCCGGCCUGCCGUCACCCGGCGCGAGGCGGUCGAGCGUCGGCGAGUCCAACCUGUCCGCAUCCACGCCAGCCAGCGAGAGGUCCAUCGCCGCGAGAACGAGGGUCACGGGAUGCUGCACGCCGAGGCGGAGCUGUGCGACGAGGUCCUUGUUCCCGCUAAAAUCGCGGCCGACUGCAGCAACGGGCGGGGGACCCCUGAUGCCUCCCUUCGCGAGCUACGGCAGGAGCUCGGGAUUAGCUCCAUGGGCGGUGAGGGGCGGAGGGGAGCUCGCCGGGGCGGCCUAUUGGGGCUAGCCGCGACGGCCGCCAUGGCGCUGGCGGGAUAUGCCCUCGACAUGUUUGACAAAAUGUGUGAUAAAAGGGGAAGAGAGGAGAAGGAAGAAGACUCAGUCAACCGCACACGUGGCGAUUUUUUCCCACGUCAGCUCCCGACGAGCGGGCCCCACUUGUCGGAAAUGCGAUUAAAUGAAGCAAAGUGAGCAAUCAGUGCUUUUUGCAACAAGUUUACUGCUAAUGUGGUGUUUUUUGCAACGAAUUAGCGACUUGGUGGUUUUCUGCAAAUCUAGCCGCAAAUGUGGUAGUUUUCUGCAAUUGACUCCGAGAUUUGAUGUCGGGUACUUCAGAUCCGGAAACGCUCCUUCGUGAGCGAGCGUCGCAAGACCCCCUCCUUCAGAUCUAUGCAAGGAUUCAAUGCCAACACCGCGGCUCCAGGGUGCUCGUCCUAAGGGGUACGUGCACGAAGACUUCACGAUUGUCAUCAAUAAAAUCGAGUCGGCUCCGGUAGGGGAGCGCCGCGUCGGUGGCUCGUGCUGACGACAGUAGUGGUGGUACAGUGGUCUCGGAAUCUUUGUCAUCAAUAAAAUCGAUCCGGCUCCAGUAGGGGAGCGUCGCGUCGGCGGCUCGUGUUGGCGGCAGUAGUGGUGGUACGGUGGUCUCGGAAUCUUGAUACAAUUUUUAUUAAGUUUCAGAUGCUUUUACCGAAUUUUUAUAAUAGAUCUACUCCUUUGCAGAAAGUUAUUUACCUAGAUUGAAUAAACACCAG
rnacentral:lncRNA from 1 species